AUGCUUGAGGAGGCAAUUCUGCAUUCAAUGCUGAAAUGUGGCACCGACAUUUCUCAAGCCGAACGUCAUGAUCAGGUAGUAGAAGGCUUCGAAUGGUGUGAUGAAGGCGGUCUUCAGCCGAUCGGCCAGGUUCAGCUUGAUCUGGUGGUAGCCGGAGUAGGCAUCAAGGAAGGACAGCAACUCGCAUCCGGUUGUGGAGUCAAUCACUUGAUCUAUCUAAGGCAGAGCAAACGGAUCUUUGGGGAAGGCUUUGUUGAGGCUGGUGUAGUCAAUACACAUGCGCCACUUAUUGUUCUUCUUCAACACAAUGACUGGAUUGGCAAGCCAGUCCGGGUAGAACACUUCCAUGAUGAAGCUGGCUGCAGCAGCCGGGCUAUCUCUUCACCAACAAUCCUUCUCUUCUCUUCUGACAGGCGGCGGAGGGGUUGCUUGACCGGCUUCGCAUCCGGCCUGACAUGUAGCUUGUGCUCGGCGAAAUCCGUCGGAACACCGGGCAUGUCAUUUGGAGACCAUGCAAAGAUGUCCCGAUUCUCACAGAGGAAAUCGACGAGCUUGCUUUCCUAUUUGCUGUCAAGGUUGGCCCCUAUGACAGCGUGCCUCUCCGGGUGCUCCAGGUCCAAGGGUAUCUUCUUGGUUUCUUUGGCCGGCUGGAAGGAGGCUUGUGCUUCCGACUCUUGGGGUCAGGGGACAUGUCCGGUUGUUUGCUGGCCAUAG
rnacentral:rRNA from 1 species